CUUUGAGGGAGAACAUGCCAUUUCCCCAGGAAGAGAUCCGAGAGAAAUGAGAUCACCGUGAUCACUGCUCAGGACGCCGUGAUUAUUAUCAAUACCNNNNNNNNNCCCUCCGAAAUAUCUAAAGAAUUUACAGGCACAGCACCCUUUGCAAAUGUAUAUUCAUCUGAACCAGCAGGUAGAACCCCUUCACUAACAUCAGCUACAAAGGCAUCACCCAUGGAAGUGGGCAAUUCCUUCGCCGACAAUUUUAAGACCCUCAACACCUCUGCUUCUUCUUCUAGGUCCCCUUUCCUCAAUGUCUGGUGAUCAGAUACUGGACGUGGAGAAUCAUCAAAAGAUCUCGCUUUGGAAAGACAGGGAGAAGGAACACCCAGANAGCAGCAAAAUCAACAGAAUCUUCCUCAUGGUUUUCCUUACUUUCACCUUCCAUGUUUCGUGUUUCCAGGGCAACAAGCUCUCCCACAAGAGCAUUAUAGGACUUUGACCCAAUCGCAUUUGCAGUAUCAGAAUCUUGGGGAUCAACCAUCCAACCGUGAUACAAAGGGAUGUCGAGCAAAUCAAAUAUGGCACAUUCUGGUGUGAACUCGAAAUCAUCUAUCCUCCUAAACUUUAUAUUUACAUCAAUUCCGGUCGCAAGACGUGGAAGCAAAUCUAUAGCAUCUGCAAUAUUCUGCUGUUGGUUUUCAACAUAGCCUGCAUCUUUAUUAUUUAUAUUACUGUUGGAAUCAAUCAAACGUUCUGCAACCAGUGAUAAUAGUUUCUCCUGCGAAACUUCUGCUA
rnacentral:misc_RNA from 1 species